UCCAAGUGCUUGGACAAGCAAACAUGGAGGUUGUUUUCGGCUUUCCCAUCACUUGGCCAGUCUGUUUUGUCCAAUUAUUUCAACGUCUCUAUUAAAUGCGAUAUGUCAAUGAGACAAUUUAUCAAGGCUGAUGCUGCUUAGUGAGAUAAAGGACACAAUCAAGCAUCAAGACCACAGGGCAGCACAAGAAUAGAACAUCGACAUUCUACAGAUAAAAUGUUACGUUUCAUUCACAAAUGUCCUUUUCUCUAGCUAAAACCAAUUUUACAAACUUGAAUAUUUUUUUCCUUCCGGUGAGCUAUGAUGAAUGUGACGACUACGAUAUAACUACUGUGGAGGGUGAAAAUGUACCUAAAGCUGAGGAUGUCCAGAAGCGGAAGAUCAAGAAGAGAACCUUUGAAGAUUGGAGUCUGGAGGAAUUGUCAGAAGAUGAGGAAAGCACAUCACAUAAGUGUCAACCUCUGCUCCAGAUUCUAAGCAAAGCUACCUUAGAAAAUCUUCCGACGAAAAAAUAUUUUCAUCUUGAGAGUGCUAACACAAGUGGUUAUGGUACCCGCCCAAAAUUCCUUGGGGCAGAAUAAGAUAGUUAAAAGUGACCUCUCCAAAAACCUCCAGAACACCUGAAGUGGAGGAUUCGGAAAGUGUUGCCAGUCCUCUAAUUGCCCUGCAAGACCAUUAAAGCAGUGGAACAGGUGGUUCACCGUCACCAUGAAGAACCCUGAGACAUUCAAAAUCAAAACAUCUACCAUCAACCUCAACCCAUCUACCACCAACCAUAAGCCUCUGCCAUUCCUCCAAAGAGAGCUGGUCCAUGGUUCCAAAAAAAAAAGUGCUGAUGCUGCUUAAGGGACACCGUCAGGCAUCAAGACCAUAAGGCAGCACAAGAAGAGGACAUCGACAUUGUACAGAAAAAAUCUCUGGCCGACUUCAUUGUCCUUGAACAGAAGAAAUUCCAAAUGUUGAAAGUUGGAUGGGUAAGCCUCAAAUAUCAAAUGGAUCCUGAAGAGGCAUUUUCCAGAUGGCAGGAACCGUGAUAACCCAUCGGACAUCAUUAUUAUCAAACUGUCCACCUGUCUGAUCACUCAGUUCCUGCAAGAUGAAAAACAAACACCCUGUCAGCUCUUUGUAUGUAGGUGUUCUAGGCAUGUCCUGCUGGAAAGAGACGACCCAGCACACGCUGGAGAAGCUACUUCUAUCGGCUGGCCUGGGACCGCCUUGGGAUCUCUCUGGAGAAGCUGAAUGAAGUGGCUAUUGAAAUGCAGUUCUGGCCAUCCCUGUGGCACAGCUGUAGAGCGAUGACCUACCAGUUCUGCGGACUGCGGUUCAAAUCCCGGCCUCACCUGUGUCGAGUUUGCAUGUUCUCCUCAUGCCUUUGUGGGUUUUUUUUCCAGUUCAGGGUUUCCUCCAGCCUGAUGACAGCUCUGAUAGGCUACAGCACUCGCGCGACCCUUGUGAGCAGGCAUGAGGAUUUCGGCAAAUAUGUUCCUCUCAGCUCAUGACAGAAUACUUUGGCUAUUAUGGACCCAGCAACCUCAGAGGCAACAGGUAUCCAUUUUUUCUUCCUGUUCUCAACCUGACCCACCUCCGCUACAUACUCCUCCUGAGCCUGCUGCCCAGCCCUACUCCAGACCUCCUCUGACAUUCCCAACCGAUUCGUUUUUAUGUACCCUGAAGACGGCAAGUCCUCCGGUGCCUUCUCGAGAAACAACUUUCUGUUUAAAUGGAAAAAACAGUCUUCAGUACAUUUCCUCAGCUACAUCGCAAAAGAACAACUACAACCAGAUCCCACCAAGGUCCAAGCAAUCAUCAACUGCCCCAUUCUGACGAAUCGAAAAGAAAUGCAACACUUCCUCGGAUUUGUCAACUUCGACCGUUCAUUCAUCCAUAACUACAACUAGGCAGGCCUUCCCCUCACCAGCAUCAUAUCCACCUGUGUUCCCUUUCAGUGGAUCCCGGCAGCCUCUCAAACAUUUGGAAACUUUGACUUUGGCAACUGUGAACUGCUGGCUAUAAUCUGGGCACUGGAGGAGUAGAGGCACUGAUUAGAGGGGAUUUAAGAGCCCUUCAUUGUUUGGACCGACCACAAAAAUCUUGCUUACCUUUGUUUAGCUAAGUGACUCAACUCCCGACAAGCUUAUUGAUCUUACUGUCCACUAUUUCUCAACUGUUUCACUUUAGUCUCACUUUGCAUCUACUUUCCCAGAACAGCAAAGCUAAUGCCUUUUUCAGUGAACCCGAGCUUGAACCUCUUCAUGUGCCUCCUCUUUCAUUGGUGCAGCCACAUGGGAUAUUGAACAGGUGGUCAAGGAGGACCAAAAGAACCAACCGAGCCCCAAACCAAGCCUCCUGACAGCCUGUUCGUACCAGACUCCAUAAAUUUGGAAAUCCAACAUUGGGCCCACAAUUCAUAGUUAACCUGCCAUCUCCCGAACAACCCAGUUCAUUCAACAGCUUUUCUGGAGGUCAGGUUUCAUCAAAGACACCCAUCAAUUCAUCCAAGACUCCGCCACCUGAGACUGAGGAAAAUCUUCACAUCGACCCCAACUGGUCUGCUGCACCCCCUGCCAAUACCCCAGUCGCCUGUCGUCUUACAUCACCAUGGACAUCGUUGCUGGCUUGCCUGCCUCAGAAGAUCAUAGUUAUUCUCACCAUCGUUGAUCGGUUUUCCAGGUGGGAAUUCUGGAAGGUGGAGACCACACCAGUCAUCUUCUCUUUAGGGUACCGUCCGCAGACCAAUCACCACAUGGCGCGAGUUAAUCAAUCCCUGGAGUCGGCUCUUCACUAUCUUGCUGCAUGGAACCCAUCCUCACGAAGCCCAUUCUCCCACGGAUUGUAUAUGCAUACAACUCCCCCCACCAGCUCUGCCACUGUCCCCCGUUCAUGGCAUUCUACGGUUUCCAACCCCACUCUUCAACCUAUAGGAGUAUGUGCUGUAGUUCCUACUAUUCAAGAUCAUCUCUGAAGAGUUCAGGGAGUGUGGAAGGAAGGCCAGGCUGACUGAGUCCCAUAAGAUCACUCCGUGUUACAUUGGUCAUUUUCUCAUUACCAAAAACCAUCAAUCCCACUUCCGUUCAAUUGGAACUUCCUCAGUUGUUGCACGUCUUGUUAGUCUCCAGCUAAUCCACCCCCCAACACCACCAGAUUACUGACAACAAUCUGGCCUUCUCUGUGUCGCGCAUCAUCUACAUGUGGCCUCAGAGUACGGGGGUUCUAGUACCUUUUUGACUGGGAGGAGUAUGAGCCAAAGGAGCGGUGCUGGAUUUCUCUGAAGUUUAUCCUAAACCCCACUCUCCUGGAUGAUUUCUACAUGGCUCAGCUGAGGAAGCCUGGCAGGACGCUAGAAGGCGUACGUUGAGUGGUGUAAUGUUCUAGUGUCCACCUUGCUCACGGAUUGACAUCACUCUCUAAUCCUCAACUACAUGGUGGGUCAGUCCCUCGGGCUUUCUUCCCAUGACAUUCCCCUUCACACUGAGUUCCGUGAGGUCACUCCGCGUUACAUUACCAAAACAAAAACCAUCGAUUCGACUUCCGCCCAGUUGGAACUUCCUCAUCAUUGCGUUGAGAUGGUCUCCAGCUGAUACAUCGCCGCCUCGUCCCCCCGUUGACAAACAUUGCAUUGAAAAUGCAUUCCACUUUCCACGUCUUGUUAGUCUCCAGAUAAUCCACCCCCCCCCAACACCAGCACCACCAGAUUACUGACAACAAUCUGGCCUUCUUGUGUGUCACGCAUCCUCAACAUGCAGCCUCAGAGUAGGGGGGUUCUAGUACCUUGUUGACUGGGAAGGGUAUGGGCCGUAGGAGCGGUUCUGGAUUUCUCUGGACUUUAUCCUUGACCCCACUCUCCUGGAUGACUUUUACGCAGCUCACCUGGGGAAGCCUGGCAAGACGCCAGGAGGCGUCCAUUGAGGCUUGUCCCGUUAAAGGAGACCUACUGGCCU